rnacentral:rRNA from 1 species
UACGUAGGGGGCAAGCGUUGUCCGGAAUCAUUGGGCGUAAAGAGCGUGUAGGCGGCUCGAUAAGUCCGCUGUGAAAGUCCAGGGCUCAACCCUGGAAGGCCGGUGGAAACUGUCGGGCUAGAGUCCGGAAGAGGCGACUGGAAUUCCUGGUGUAGCGGUGAAAUGCGCAGAUAUCAGGAGGAACACCGGUGGCGAAGGCGGGUCUCUGGGCAACAACUGACGCUGAGGAGCGAAAGCGUGGGGAGCGAACAGG